rnacentral:rRNA from 1 species
AUGAUGACUCUCGGCAACGGAUAUCUUGGCUCUCGCAUCGAUGAAGAACGUAGCGAAAUGCGAUACUUGGUGCGAAUUGCAGAAUCCCGCGAACCAUCGAGUCUUUGAAUGCAAGUUGCGCCCGAGGCCACCCGGUCGAGGGCAUGCCUGGCUGGGCGUCACGC